GGGGAAUCUUGCGCAAUGGGGGAAACCCUGACGCAGCGACGCCGCGUGCGGGAUGAAGGCCUUCGGGUCGUAAACCGCUUUCAGCAGGGACGAAAUUGACGGUACCUGCAGAAGAAGCCCCGGCCAACUACGUGCCAGCAGCCGCGGUAAUACGUAGGGGGCAAGCGUUGUCCGGAUUUAUUGGGCGUAAAGAGCUCGUAGGCGGCUUGGUAAGUCGGGUGUGAAAUCUCCACGCUCAACGUGGAGGGGCCACUCGAUACUGCCAUGGCUAGAGUCCGGUAGGGGAGUGUGGAAUUCCCGGUGUAGCGGUGAAAUGCGCAGAGAUCGGGAGGAACACCCGUAGCGAAGGCGGCACUCUGGGCCGGUACUGACGCUGAGGAGCGAAAGCGUGGGGAGCGAAC
rnacentral:rRNA from 1 species